UACGGAGGGUGCAAGCGUUAUCCGGAUUCACUGGGUUUAAAGGGUGCGCAGGCGGUGGAGCAAGUCUGUUGUGAAAUCUCCCGGCUUAACCGGGAGGGUGCGGCGGAAACUGUUCUGCUGGAGUGAGGGAGAGGCAAGCGGAAUUCCUGGUGUAGCGGUGAAAUGCGUAGAUAUCAGGAGGAACACCCGUGGUGCAGACGGCUUGCUGGACCUCCACUGACGCUGAGGCACGAAAGCGUGGGGAGCAAACAGG
rnacentral:rRNA from 1 species